UACAGAGGUCUCAAGCGUUGUUCGGAUUCAUUGGGCGUAAAGGGUGCGUAGGCGGCGCGGUAAGUCCGCUGUGAAAGUCGGGGGCUCAACCCUCGGAUGCCGGUGGAUACUGUCGGGCUUGAGUACGGAAGAGGCGAGUGGAAUUCCUGGUGUAGCGGUGAAAUGCGCAGAUAUCAGGAGGAACACCCGUAGCGAAGGCGGCACUCUGGGCCGAUUCUGACACUGAGGAGCGAAAGCGUGGGGAGCGAACAGG
rnacentral:rRNA from 1 species